rnacentral:rRNA from 1 species
CAAUAGCGUAUAUUAAAGUUGUUGCGGUUAAAAAGCUCGUAGUUGGAGUUCUGCCAGGUGCCGCCUGCCCGCCCCAGUGGUGAGUACGUGGCGCGCAUUUGGCCCUUUCAAGGGGAGCGUAUCUGCACUUUAUUGUGUGGUGCGGGAUCCUUGACUUUUACUUUGAGGAAAUAGGAGUGUUCCAAGCAGGCUCUCGUCGUGCACAGCUCAGCAUGGAAUAAUAGCAUUGGACCUCGAUUCUAAGCUGUUGGUUGCCAGAAGCGAGGUAAUGAUGAAGAGGGAUAGUUGGGGGCAUUCGUAUUUAACUGUCAGUGGUGAAAUUCUUGGAUUUGUUAAAGACGGACUACUGCGAAAGCAUCUGCCAUGGAUGUUUUCAUUGA